rnacentral:rRNA from 1 species
GAUGAACGCUGGCGGCGUGCUUAACACAUGCAAGUCGAACGGAAAGGCCCAAGCUUGCUUGGGUACUCGAGUGGCGAACGGGUGAGUAACACGUGGGUGAUCUGCCCUGCACUUCGGGAUAAGCCUGGGAAACUGGGUCUAAUACCGGAUAGGACCACAUUUUGGAUGGUGUGGUGGAAAGUUUUUCGGUGUGGGAUGAGCUCGCGGCCUAUCAGCUUGUUGGUGGGGUAAUGGCCUACCAAGGCGUCGACGGGUAGCCGGCCUGAGAGGGUGUACGGCCACAUGGGGCUUGAGAUACGGCCCAGACUCCUACGGGGGGAAGCAGUGGGGAAUAUUGCACAAGGGGCGAAGGCCUGAUGAAGCGACGCCGCGUGGGGGAUGACGGCCUCGGGUUGUAAACUCCUUUCGCUAGGGACGAAGCGCAAGUGACGGUACCUGGAGAAGAAGCACCGGCUAACUACGUG